rnacentral:rRNA from 1 species
AGAGUUUGAUCCUGGCUCAGAACGUACGCUGGCGGCACGCCUAACACAUGCAAGUCGAACGAAGUAGCAAUACUUAGUGGCAGACGGGUGAGUAACAUGUAGGUAUCUGCCCUUUGGCCUGGAAUAACACGAGGAAACUUGUGCUAAUACCGGAUAAGUCUUUACGGAGAAAGCUUUAUGCACCAUUGGAUGAGCCUGCACUUGAUUAGUUUGUUGGUGGGGUAAUGGCCUACCAAGACUGUGAUCAAUAGCUGAUUUGAGAGGAUGAUCAGCCACAUUGGGACUGAGACACGGCCCAAACUCCUACGGGAGGCAGCAGUGGGGAAUCUUGCACAAUGGAGGAAACUCUGAUGCAGCGAUGCCGCGUGAGUGAAGAAGGCCCUUGGGUUGUAAAGCUCUUUCGUCGGGGAAGAAAAUGACUGUACCCGAAUAAGAAGGUCCGGCUAACUUCGUGCCAGCAGCCGCGGUAAUACGAAGGGACCUAGCGUAGUUCGGAAUUACUGGGCUUAAAGAGUUCGUAGGUGGUUGAAAAAGUUAGUGGUGAAAUCCCAGAGCUUAACUCUGGAACUGCCAUUAAAACUUUUCAGCUAGAGUAUGAUAGAGGAAAGCAGAAUUUCUAGUGUAGAGGUGAAAUUCGUAGAUAUUAGAAAGAAUACCAAUUGCGAAGGCAGCUUUCUGGAUCAUUACUGACACUGAGGAACGAAAGCAUGGGUAGCGAAGAGGAUUAGAUACCCUCGUAGUCCAUGCCGUAAACGAUGUGUGUUAGACGUUGGAAAUUUAUUUUCAGUGUCGCAGCGAAAGCGAUAAACACACCGCCUGGGGAGUACGACCGCAAGGUUAAAACUCAAAUGAAUUGACGGGGACCCGCACAAGUAGUGGAGCAUGUGGUUUAAUUCGAAGAUACGCGCAGAACCUUACCAACACUUGACAUGUUCGUCGCGACUCUAAGAGAUUAGAGUUUUCGGUUCGGCCGGACGAAACACAGGUGCUGCAUGGCUGUCGUCAGCUCGUGUCGUGAGAUGUUGGGUUAAGUCCCGCAACGAGCGCAACCCUCACUUUUAGUUGCCAUCAUUAAGUUGGGCACUCUGAAAGAACUGCCAGUGAUAAGCUGGAGGAAGGUGGGGAUGACGUCAAGUCCUCAUGGCCCUUACGUGUUGGGCUACACACGUGCUACAAUGGUAUCUACAACAGGAAGCAAGACUGCGAAGUUAAGCAAAUCCCUAAAAGAUACCUCAGUUCGGAUUGCACUCUGCAACUCGAGUGCAUGAAGCUGGAAUUACUAGUAAUCGUGGAUCAGCGUGCCACGGUGAAUGCGUUCCCGGGUCUUGUACACACCGCCCGUCACACCAUGGGAGUUGGUUCUACCUUAAGGCAAGGUUUUAAACCCUUGACCACGGUAUAGUCAGCGACUGGGGUGAAGUCGUAACAAGGU